rfam:Canis lupus familiaris chromosome 16, whole genome shotgun sequence.
GGGGGGAGCCGAGGGACCUUGGGCUGUGUCCCUGGCGCCCUGUGCUCCCAGGCUUGUGCUACUGGAGUCACGCUCCUGGCCCUGCAGCCCCCU